CCACCGGAGCUUGCUCCACCGGAAAAAGAGGAGUGGCGAACGGGUGAGUAACACGUGGGUAACCUGCCCAUCAGAAGGGGAUAACACUUGGAAACAGGUGCUAAUACCGUAUAACAAUCGAAACCGCAUGGUUUUGAUUUGAAAGGCGCUUUCGGGUGUCGCUGAUGGAUGGACCCGCGGUGCAUUAGCUAGUUGGUGAGGUAACGGCUCACCAAGGCCACGAUGCAUAGCCGACCUGAGAGGGUGAUCGGCCACAUUGGGACUGAGACACGGCCCAAACUCCUACGGGAGGCAGCAGUAGGGAAUCUUCGGCAAUGGACGAAAGUCUGACCGAGCAACGCCGCGUGAGUGAAGAAGGUUUUCGGAUCGUAAAACUCUGUUGUUAGAGAAGAACAAGGAUGAGAGUAACUGUUCAUCCCUUGACGGUAUCUAACCACAAAGCCACGGCUAACUACG
rnacentral:rRNA from 1 species